CCUACGGGUGGCAGCAGUAGGGAAUAUUGCUCAAUGGGGGAAACCCUGAAGCAGCAACGCCGCGUGGAGGAUGAAGGUUCUCGGAUUGUAAACUCCUUUUUUUAGAGAAGAUAAUGACGGUAUCUAACGAAUAAGCACCGGCUAACUCCGUGCCAGCAGCCGCGGUAAUACGGAGGGUGCAGCCGUUACUCGGAAUCACUGGGCGUAAAGAGCGCGUAGGCGGGAUAGCAAGUCAGAUGUGAAAUCCUAUGGCUUAACCAUAGAACUGCAUUUGAAACUGUUAUUCUAGAGUAUGGGAGAGGUAGGUGGAAUUCGUGGUGUAGGGGUGAAAUGCGUAGAGAUCAAGAAGAAUACUGAUUGCGAAGGCGACCUGCUAGAACGUCACUGACGCUGAUGCGCGAAAGCGUGGGGAGCAAACAGGAUUAGAUACCCCAGUAGUC
rnacentral:rRNA from 1 species